rnacentral:rRNA from 1 species
GACGUAGGGCGCGAGCGUUGUCCGGAUUUAUUGGGCGUAAAGAGCUCGUGGGCGGUUUGUCGCGUCUGCUGGGAAAACCCGAGGCUCAACCUCGGGCCUGCAGUGGGUACGGGCAGACUAGAGUGCGGUAGGGGAGAUUGGAAUUCCUGGUGUAGCGGUGGAAUGCGUUGAUAUUCACAGGAACUCCGGUGGCGAAGGCGGCUCGCUGGAUCUUUUCUGACGCUGAGGCGCGAAAGCUAGGGGAGCAAACGGG